rnacentral:rRNA from 1 species
CGUAGGGGGCAAGCGUUGUCCGGAUUUACUGGGCGUAAAGAGCGUGUAGGCGGCCAGGCAGGUCUGUUGUGAAAACUGGAGGCUCAACCUCCAGACGUCGACAGAAACCGUCUGGCUAGAGUCCGGAAGAGGAGAGUGGAAUUCCUGGUGUAGCGGUGAAAUGCGCAGAUAUCAGGAAGAACACCGAUGGCGAAGGCAGCUCUCUGGGACGGUACUGACGCUGAGACGCGAAAGCGUGGGGAGCAAACAGGAUUAGAUACCCUGGUAGUCCACGCCGUAAACGAUGGGUGCUAGGUGUGGGAGGUGUCGACUCCUCCCGUGCCGCAGCUAACGCAUUAAGCACCCCGCCUGGGGAGUACGGCCGCAAGGCUA